rnacentral:rRNA from 1 species
AUUGAACGCUGGCGGCAUGCCUUACACAUGCAAGUCGAACGGCAGCACGGGUGCUUGCACCUGGUGGCGAGUGGCGAACGGGUGAGUAAUACAUCGGAACGUACCUUAUCGUGGGGGAUAACGCAGCGAAAGCUGUGCUAAUACCGCAUACGCCCUGAGGGGGAAAGCGGGGGAUCGCAAGACCUCGCGCGAUUAGAGCGGCCGAUGCCUGAUUAUCUUGUUGGUGGGGUAAAAGCCCACCAAGGCGAAGAUCAGUAGCUGGUCUGAGAGGACGAUAGGCCACAGUGGGACUGAGACACGGCCCAGACUCCUACGGGAGGGAGCAGUGGGAAAUUUUGGACAAUGGGGGCAACCCUGAUCCAGCAAUGCCGCGUGAGUGAAGAAGGCCUUCGGGUUGUAAAGCUCUUUUGUCAGGGAAGAAACACCGGCUCUAACACAGUCCGGGAAUGACGGUACCUGAAGAAUAAGCACCGGCUAACUACGUGCCAGCCGCCGCCGUAA